CUGCGAUGAUGCCAUUUCUUAGGACACCUUUGGAUAAAUCAUGAAACCAACCAUUCUCUGAGCAGC
ensembl:snoRNA SNORD58 Small nucleolar RNA SNORD58